UACAGAGGGUGCGAGCGUUAAUCGGAAUUACUGGGCGUAAAGCGCACGUAGUCGGCUUUGCAAGUCGGGUGUGAAAUCCCCGGGCUCAACCUGGGAACUGCAUCCGAGACUGCAUUGCUAGAGUAUGGGAGAGGGAAGCGGAAUUCCUGGUGUAGCGGUGAAAUGCGCAGAUAUCAGGAGGAACACCGGUGGCGAAGGCGGGUCUCUGGGCCGAUACUGACGCUGAGGAGCGAAAGCGUGGGGAGCGAACAGG
rnacentral:rRNA from 1 species